CGUCGCUCCAAUCCGUGGGCAUCGUGCAUCGUGUGAUCCCACUUCUUUCCCUCGUCCGAUUCCCGUGAUCUCCGCUCGAGAGUCGAGACCCCCUUUGAUUUUCGUUCUUAUGAACCUCCCCAAGUUCCGCCGGCUGACCAUGCUUUUCCGGUCGAUGUCAUCGUCACGCACCGCAUCGAGCGCACGCAGCACGAGCCGAAGCUCCACAACGCCGCCGGACUUCGUGAGCAUCACCACCACCGCUCGAUGAAGCAGUUGACGUCGGGGACCCCAAGCUCGUGACCCCCUUGGCGCGCCACGCUCGCCGUCACCUCUCAGUCGCCGGAAAACCGCCGGAGCCACCCCAUCGCCAACGCCGGUAGCCGCCACCGUUCCCUCUGCUUCAGAUUAAUCGGAGUGUGACGAGUAGAAUUAUGAGGAAUUUGAGUGCGACGAUCUUUAUCAAAAAUAUCAGGCAAGUUACACCUUGACCAUCCUUCAUCCUAUUAUUUCAUUGUGUAGGAUAAUUAUGGUAGCAUGUUAUUGCUAUUGAGAUUCAGCUUAGUAUGGCCUUAUUGUAGAUCGUGGUAGUUGUACUCUUGCUAUGCUGUG